rnacentral:rRNA from 1 species
CGGACAGUAUCAGGAGCUUGCUCCCUGAUGUUAGCGGCGGACGGGUGAGUAACACGUGGGUAACCUGCCUGUAAGACUGGGAUAACUCCGGGAAACCGGGGCUAAUACCGGAUGGUUGUUUGAACCGCAUGGUUCAGACAUAAAAGGUGGCUUCGGCUACCACUUACAGAUGGACCCGCGGCGCAUUAGCUAGUUGGUGAGGUAACGGCUCACCAAGGCGACGAUGCGUAGCCGACCUGAGAGGGUGAUCGGCCACACUGGGACUGAGACACGGCCCAGACUCCUACGGGAGGCAGCAGUAGGGAAUCUUCCGCAAUGGACGAAAGUCUGACGGAGCAACGCCGCGUGAGUGAUGAAGGUUUUCGGAUCGUAAAGCUCUGUUGUUAGGGAAGAACAAGUGCCGUUCAAAUAGGGCGGCACCUUGACGGUACCUAACCAGAAAGCCACGGCUAACUACGUGCCAGCAGCCGCGGUAAUACGUAGGUGGCAAGCGUUGUCCGGAAUUAUUGGGCGUAAAGGGCUCGCAGGCGGUUUCUUAAGUCUGAUGUGAAAGCCCCCGGCUCAACCGGGGAGGGUCAUUGGAAACUGGGGAACUUGAGUGCAGAAGAGGAGAGUGGAAUUCCACGUGUAGCGGUGAAAUGCGUAGAGAUGUGGAGGAACACCAGUGGCGAAGGCGACUCUCUGGUCUGUAACUGACGCUGAGGAGCGAAAGCUGCACUCG